rnacentral:rRNA from 1 species
UACAGAGGGGGGCAAGCGUUGUUCGGAAUUACUGGGCGUAAAGGGCGCGUAGGCGGCCUGCUAAGUCGAACGUGAAAUCCCCGGGCUCAACCCGGGAACUGCGUCCGAUACUGGUAGGCUUGAAUUCGGGAGAGGGAUGCGGAAUUCCAGGUGUAGCGGUGAAAUGCGUAGAUAUCUGGAGGAACACCGGUGGCGAAGGCGGCAUCCUGGACCGGCAUUGACGCUGAGGCGCGAAAGCCAGGGGAGCAAACGGG